UCUGUGCUCAGAUGAGGGAAACACAACACUGAGCAAAGUGUCGAAAAUGCCGUUAAAGCGAGACACGGCGUCUGUGUUCAGCCUCUUCUGGUGAAGCCCAGCGCGGCACGUCUCUGUGUUGGACCCUCGAUGGUAACAAAGAAGAUAUUGAUGCCCGACUCCCGUGCCAGUCGUGACGCCUCUUCCACCUUGUCAGUGGGCCAGCCGUCUACCAAGACCACGGCUACAUUGGGUGCCCCGCCACGGUUGCCGUUGGCAUCACUGAAGUAGUGCUUGUUGAGAGAAGUAGCCGUCCGCUGACAUGGUGUUCCUGCUCUUCACCGUGUUUAUGACGGAGGCGUAGGAGAAGAGCAUGAUCAGCACAGGGAUGACGAAGCAUGAGCCUAGAAGAGGGACCAUAGACCAGAAGAGCGCUCCCGUCCAGAUACAGAUGAUGGAUAUGGAGAUCGUGCUUCUGCUUAUACAGUGCGCUGUGGACAUAAAUGAAGAAUGAG